rnacentral:rRNA from 1 species
GUUUGAUCAUGGCUCAGGAUGAACGCUAGCGGAAGGCUUAAUACAUGCAAGUCGAGCGGUAGUCCCUUUCGGGGGAUGAGAGCGGCGCACGGGUGAGUAACGCGUACAUGACCAGCCUAUCAGAAGGGGAUAGCCCUGGGAAACUGGGAUUAAUACCCUAUGGCAUUGUAUUUUUAAAUGGAUACAAUUAAAGCUGAGGCGCUGAUAGAUGGAUGUGCGUCUGAUUAGCUAGUUGGUGGGGUAAAGGCCCACCAAGGCGACGAUCAGUAGGGGGCGUGAGAGCGUGGUCCCCCACACGGGUACUGAGACACGGACCCGACUCCUACGGGAGGCAGCAGUAAGGAAUAUUGGUCAAUGCCCGCAAGGGUGAACCAGCCAUUCCGCGUGGAGGAUGAAGGCCCUAUGGGUUGUAAACUUCUUUUAGAUGGGAAGAAAAUGCUUUGUUUACAAGGUACUGACGGUACCAUCAGAAUAAGCACCGGCUAACUCCGUGCCAGCAGCCGCGGUAAUACGGAGGGUGCGAGCGUUAUCCGGAAUUACUGGGUUUAAAGGGUGCGUAGGCGGAUAAUUAAGUCUAAGGUGAAAGUCUGUCGCUUAACGAUAGAAUUGCCUUGGAUACUGGUUAUCUUGAAUAGGGAUGAGGAUAGCGGAAUGCGGCAUGUAGCGGUGAAAUGCAUAGAUAUGCCAUAGAACACCAAUUGCGAAGGCAGCUAUCUGGUCUUUUAUUGACGCUGAGGCACGAAAGCGUGGGGAUCGAACAGGAUUAGAUACCCUGGUAGUCCACGCCCUAAACGAUGCUAACUCGAUGUUUGGUUAUUAUGAUUGAGCAUCCAAGCGAAAGCGUUAAGUUAGCCACCUGGGGAGUACGACCGCAAGGUUG